rnacentral:rRNA from 1 species
CGCCUUAGAGUUUGAUCCUGGCUCAGAACGAACGCUGGCGGCAUGCCUAACACAUGCAGGUCGAACGGGUGGUAGCAAUACCACCAGUGGCAGACGGGUGCGUAACACGUGGGAACCUGCCCAGAGGUUCGGAAUAGCUGCGGGAAACUGCAGGUAAUACCGAAUGUUGCCUGAGGGCUAAAGGAGCAAUUCGCCUUUGGAGGGGCCCGCGUCGGAUUAGCUAGUUGGUGGGGUAACGGCUCACCAAGGCGACGAUCCGUAGCUGGUCUGAGAGGAUGGCCAGCCACACUGGAACUGAGACACGGUCCAGACUCCUACGGGAGGCAGCAGUGGGGAAUAUUGGACAAUGGGGGAAACCCUGAUCCAGCAAUGCCGCGUGGGUGAUGAAGGCCUUCGGGUUGUAAAGCCCUUUUGGCGGGGACGAUGAUGACGGUACCCGCAGAAUAAGCCCCGGCUAACUACGUGCCAGCAGCCGCGGUAAUACGUAGGGUGCAAGCGUUAAUCGGAAUUACUGGGCGUAAAGCGUGCGCAGGCGGUUAUGUAAGACAGAUGUGAAAUGCCCGGGCUUAACCUGGGAACUGCAUUUGUGGCUGCAUGGCUAGAGUGUGUCAGAGGGGGGUAGAAUUCCACGUGUAGCAGUGAAAUGCGUAGAUAUGUGGAGGAAUACCGAUGGCGAAGGCAGCCCCCUGGGAUAACACUGACGCUCAUGCACGAAAGCGUGGGGAGCAAACAGGAUUAGAUACCCUGGUAGUCCACGCCCUAAACGAUGUCAACUAGUUGUCGGGUCUUAAUUGACUUGGUAACGCAGCUAACGCGUGAAGUUGACCGCCUGGGGAGUACGGUCGCAAGAUUAAAACUCAAAGGAA